AUGACCAUACCCCUGAAAUCACUUCUAUCUUUGCUUGCUAGUUGUUCGAUCUAUUGCUAUGCCGCGAUACCUACCACUUGCUAUAUCAUGCCUCCCAUAUUGCCAUGUCAAGCCUCUAACCCACCUUUCCUAGCAAACCGUUGUUUGGCUAUGUUACCGCUUUGCUCAGCCCCUCUCAUAGCGUUGCUAGUUGCAGGUGAAGAUGAAGUUUGUUCCAUGUUGGAACAUGGAGUUUGUUGGGAUAUCAUUAUUAUAUCUUAUUUAAUUAAUGCAUCUAUAUACUUGGUAAAGGGUGGAAGGCUCGGCCUUAUGCCUGGUGUAUUGUUCCACUCUUGUCGCCCUAGUUUUGGUCAUACCGGUGUUAUGUUCCUUGAUUUUGCGUUCCUUACGCGGUUGGGUGUUAUGGGAACCCCUUGA
rnacentral:rRNA from 1 species